GGGGGCGAACUGGCUUCGACGGGAAGGCAGAGGCGUCAGUAGCACGUCGAGGGCCAUCUCCUCGUUAAUCCGGUGGAAAAUAAUAGUCGCCAAUAACGACUACGCACUCGCGGCUUAAUUAGACCGUGACGUCUUACAGGUGGCUUGCCCGAGGCGAUUUGUAAGGCGACGUUAAUUCGGGCUGGUGGAACCGGUACGCCCGUAACGGACCCACGAGAUUUAACGGGCUGGCUACCCGCUGGUUUGCCGUUCAGCAGGCGAGUAGUGAGAUAAACACCGAGUCGGCUAAACGUGUAGAAGCUGGCGUACGAACCUUUUCGGACGCGGGUUCGAUUCCCGCCGCCUCCACCA
rnacentral:tmRNA from 1 species